rnacentral:rRNA from 1 species
CAGUCGCCACGGUAAUACGUAGGUCCCGAGCGUUGUCCGGAUUUAUUGGGCGUAAAGCGAGCGCAGGCGGUUAGAUAAGUCUGAAGUUAAAGGCUGUGGCUUAACCAUAGUACACUUUGGAAACUGUUUAACUUGAGUGCAAGAGGGGAGAGUGGAAUUCCAUGUGUAGCGGUGAAAUGCGUAGAUAUAUGGAGGAACACCGGUGGCGAAAGCGGCUCUCUGGCUUGUAACUGACGCUGAGGCUCGAAAGCGUGGGGAGCAAACAGGAUUAGAUACCCCAGUAGUCCCUGUCUCUUAUACA